GGGACCAGGAAGGAUGCCAAGGUUCCUAGGAGAGCUACUCACAAGGUCUCUGACUUCAUAGGAUGGAUGUCUCCUGAGCUGGCCUGGCUGCAGAAAGGGUUCCUGGACUUAGCUGCCAAGACCUGGAAGGUUGAGCAUACUUCACUGUGGACCUGUCUGUCACCUCCAAGGCCGAGACAUCUAAGAUUGCUCACAUGCCUGAUAAGUGGAGGAAACCAUGAAGGUGUGGGACCUACAUGUGUCCAGCAGGUGUCCAUACAGGAGUCCACACGGGGAAGCAUUCAUUCACUCAGAGUAACUACAAAUCUGUGGACAGUGGUCACAGUGGGAUGGGGAAUAGUCUCCACUGGGACUAUAGGGUCUCAGCAUCUUGCUGGCAGGCUGGUUGGGCUCUCCGUAGCCCUCAGCAGGGGUCUAGUACUUACUUUAUGCUUACUGGGAGCCUCUGGGUAAGGGCUCACCCUCUCCCCAAGCUGACCAAAUGUCACCAGACAUCACUGGAGAGAGCACUGGCCAGCGGGGGUGACCUGGUGUCCAUGGCUGCCUGAGAGGCUCUCACCCGAUGGUGCGCUGCAGCCGCAGGCAAUUUAUCUCCGUCUCGACGCUCUUAAAACGCUCUUAUCAAAAUUGGCGGUCACGCUGCGCUGAACCUCGGUGGCCUCAAUCUUAACCGCUGUGCUGCAGAUUUUAAUUUGGGGAAGAUUAACGUGCGGCCAGCGUUAUACCUCCUGUUCGUUAGCAUCCUGAUGGGUGACAGCAUCCCCACCACACCCUGUCCUUGUGGUUCUGUGUCUUCCGGCUAUGCAGUGAGUGCAUAUGAACACUGAGGUGAGCCACUUGGAUUUCCUGUCCCGUUGUAACAGCCUGCCCCCAAUACUGAAGUGCUGGCCCUGUGCAAAUCAGAAUGGCUGACACACCUCCAGAUGCUCAAUACAUUGCUGCCCCUCUCACAUGCUGACUUCCUGAUAUCACCUUCCCCUAUUCUCUUGCCAGGCAGGUGACAGAGGCCUGCUACAACCCCACCUCAUUUUGUCCUUCAUCCCACAGUCAUCUCAGCACAGAAGCCCAGGCCUGACCAGCCAUGCCUGGGUGAGACCAGCUUUCUCCCCUGAGUGUCUACAUAGACUCUAUCCUCAGUCACUAUCCCAUGUCCCGUUCCCCUCCUCUGUUCCCCAGUUCCUCCUCCUGAUUGGCAAGUCUGAUAUAUGUCUGGGUCCCACAGGUCCUGACCUGGGAUGCACUUCCCAAGAAUCCAUAACUCUCCCUCUCCCAGGCCCUUCUCCCACCUGGUCUGGAUAAUGAGUCCUCUCUUGAUCCCUCUAUUUGAGCUUAUGUCUCUGUAUAUCCUUACUACUAACCUUUGAUGUGUUUGUGCACUGGAGCUAUAGACGCCUACUAAGGCAUUUAUCAUUUUGCACCUACCAGAUUCUUAGCCAGAGAGGGUACCCAUUGUCUCAGACCCUCCUGAUCCAAUGCUAGGCUAAUAAGCACACAGACCCUCUUGAUCUAAUACUAGGCUAAUUGGCACACAACCCCUCUUGAUUUAAUGCUAAGCUAAUGGGCACACAGUUCCUCCUGAUCCAAUGCUAGGCACAACUCAUCUUGAGCUAAUGCUAGGCUAGUUGGCAACAGCCCUUCUUGAUCCAAUGUAGGAUACUGGACACAGGGCCAAUACUUAUCCAGAUUCAGUACCUAAUGGAUGCUAAGACCUCUACCCCAACCUAGAGUGGUUGAUCUUAGAAGAAGUUAGGGCAGUUGUUCUGGGUCUGACUGCCAGGCCAGGGAGGGGUCCAGAGAAGGUGAGGGAUCUGGUGGGUAGCCACUUUGGGGGAAGGCUGGUGUACUGGCUAGUUUUGUGCCAACUUGACACAGCUGGAGUUAUCACAGAGAAAGGAGCU
rnacentral:lncRNA from 1 species